rnacentral:misc_RNA from 1 species
UAAAGUAGAUCCACCAUCUCUGGUGUCAGCGCUCUUUCCAGAGCAGGAAGCCAUCAAGAGUUGCAGAGUCCCAACUAACACCUAUGCUGUGAGAGAGGGAGCGAGUUGCAGAGUUAGGCAAUUUUCUUGCUCGAAUUUCUCUUUUGCUUGAUGAUGGCUGUGAAAAAAGAUGGAAAAGACUUAGAGGGACAGAUAGGGAUUUCAAAAAGGGUAUGUCCUCAACACGAUAGGAAUUCUAAUUAAAAAUAAGAUGGAUUGAAGAAGAUUUGUGUUUGAAAAAAUUAAGGAGGAAAGUGCUCAAAACAUAAAAAUCAAAGACGAAAAAUAAAAACAAUGCGCAAUUAGGGAUUGACAAAUGACAGGUGAUUAAGGGAAAAAAAUAAAAGAAAAAAACUAAUGGCAGGUGAUUGAAAGACCUGGUUUUAUUAUUUUUAGUAUAAUCUCUACUUUACCCUCAUCAUUUUGCGUUUCAGCUUUAGUAGCUUUUGCACCUUUUUU